UUUUUUGACAUGUAAAAUUUAUUUUUGAUAUUAUCUCUCAGAAAAAAAUUAAUAUUAUCAAGCAUUUAAAUUAUUAUUAUUAUUAUUUUGCACGUUGAAGGUGCUCUUAUUCUCUAAUUUCUCUAUAUAUUUAUUGUUAUUAUUAUUUUCUCUGGCGGGAUUGAACAGAGCUUAAUCACGAGAUUACCAAGUCCAUUAUCGUAUGAUUGUCUUAGGAUUUUACUCAAAGCGAAGGUAUGUGAAGUCAAAGAGAAGUCUUCAACUGAGAGAAGCAAAGCCUAGAACCCAGCUCUAUUCGAAUAACACAUCAAGGGCACCGACAAUGGCUAUGCCAUGGGGCAUGACUCUCUGGAUGGCGAAGAUGGUCUGGAUCGCUCUGGCUGGUUGGGUUUCUUCUUGCUUGACCGUUGCUGACGAGGUUGCCGGUUCUCUAAGAACCGGAGAUAUUGGCCCUUUUCAUGUUGGUUGAUUCUACCGUCAAAUUCUCACCAACCCAAAAUGGCCCUGUGUCUGAUUUGGUGAUUGAUUGAAUAUUCAUUUCAUCUGUCAAAUUAAAGUUCUGUUCUGCCGCUUCUCUGGGAAGUUUAUGAUCAGCAGUGCAUUUGACCAUCCAUUGGGUGUUGGUGAUUUAAUUCUAUGGUGCAAUAGAAGACCGACUAUCUUUCUCCUUCUGCAGAUUCGGUACAUGCCAAAUGUAAGAUGAAAGAAGGGAGAAUGAAAGUGUCACCUCUACAUCUUAUGGAGUUUGUUAUGUAGUCUCAUUAGAUGUUAAUAAUAUUUAUAUAAUUUUUCAUUUUUAUUUUUUACACUGAUGGAAUUUUUUAUUUUUUAUUUUUGUAUCGUAACAAUAAAUAUGUAUUGUUUUCUUUUUUUUUUUUUUGGUGAAUAAAUAUGUAUUGUUUUCUAUGUUAUGAUUGGAUUGGUGGUUUUGAUAGC